AACGCAAAUUGCGCUCGAGGCUUCGGCCAAGAGCAUGUCUGCCUCGGCGUCGGGUUAAUAUCGCUCAUUACCCACCAUGGUGAGUAACCAAGCGGAACUGGCUGUCUCGGGAAGAUUAAUUUUUUACCGGGUCAGCUGAAGUGCAGCUGUUAAACCAUGGACCCGCUAUGGGCCUGUACUGGGUAGGCAACUUGUUGCUCAAUGCUUUAGUAGAUGGCUUAGGGACUGUGUUUUGCACAAAGCAGGAAUAUUCUUAAUUGAGUAUACCUCCUUUAUUUUCUAGACCUGAGCUCAGGCAUGAUUACCCGCUGAACUU
rnacentral:misc_RNA from 1 species